rnacentral:rRNA from 1 species
AUACGAAGGUCCCAAGCGUUAUUCGGAAUCACUGGGCGUAAAGAGUACGUAGGCGGUUUGGUAAGUCAGGUGUGAAAUCCCGGAGCUCAACUCCGGAACUGCAUCCGAUACUGCCAGACUAGAGUAAUGGAGAGGCAGGUGGAAUUCUCGGUGUAGCAGUGAAAUGCGUGGAUAUCGAGAGGAAGACCAAUGGCGAAGGCAGCCUGCUGGACAUUUACUGACGCUGAGGUACGAAGGCUAGGGGAGCGAAAGGGAUUAGAUACCCCAGUAGUCC